GUAUCAGAAGUGCGAAUGCUGACAUAAGUAACGAUAAAGCGGGUGAAAAGCCCGCUCGCCGGAAGACCAAGGGUUCCUGUCCAACGUUAAUCGGGGCAGGGGGAGUCGACCCCUAAGGCGAGGCCGAAAGGCGUAGUCGAUGGGAAACAGGUUAAUAUUCCUGUACUUGGUGUUACUGCGAAGGGGGGACGGAGAAGGCUAUGUUGGCCGGGCGACGGUUGUCCCGGUUUAAGCGUGUAGGCUGGUUUUCCAGGCAAAUCCGGAAAAUCAAGGCUGAGGCGUGAUGACGAGGCACUACGGUGCUGAAGCAACAAAUGCCCUGCUUCCAGGAAAAGCCUCUAAGCAUCAGGUAACAUCAAAUCGUACCCCAAACCGACACAGGUGGUCAGGUAGAGAAUACCAAGGCGCUUGAGAGAACUCGGGUGAAGGAA
rnacentral:rRNA from 1 species